UGGUCAUUACCAAGGCUUUUAGAACGCAAUUUCUAAUUUCCUGCAGACAUGACCAUCAAAGAUUUCCCAGCAGGUUUUUUAUCUUUUGCUACCUGGUGAGCCUUCAACCAAUUGGGAACAUCA